rnacentral:tRNA from 1 species
CGAGGUGUGGCUCAGUUUGGUAGAGCGCCACGUUCGGGACGUGGAGGCCGUGGGUUCGAAUCCCGUCACCUCGACCA